rnacentral:lncRNA from 1 species
GCUGGAUAACAUUUUAUUGUGAGGGUGACACUUCCCAUUUGGACCUGACAGGCGAGGCCUUUUGCCUCCUCUUUUAAGGGGUGGAAUCAUUCUGCCCUUCAGUUACCCUGCUGUUUUUGGUUGGGUCUUUUCUUCUCUUGGGAAAAUCCUUUAGCUGGGCAUUUUAAUUGAUCUGCUAGUGUUUUCUUCUUUCUUGUGUCUCCUCUUCUCUUUCUUCCUCUACUGCAUCCUUAACCUCAACCUUUUCAUACCCAGGACCCACUUUUAACCCAAACAUGCAUUUGGGGACACAUUUCUUAAUCUGUUACCAUAUAGUUGCAUGGUGGUAGUGCUCCUAUUGUGACCCACCUUGAUUCAGUCCAUAAAUCACUAGUGGGUCCCGACCAGUGUCUUGGGCUGUCUGGGUUUUCCUUCCUGAACUCCUCUGAGUUUCCCUGUGUGGUGGUUGUCCCAGUGGUUUGCCUCUUCAGCUUUUCAUUCCUGUGCCUGUUCCUCUUCAAAUAGCCAAACAAAAUCUCCUCCAUUUGUUUGUCCCAAUCUCAGUCUUCUUCAUGAGGUUUUUGUCCUCCCUUGUCCACUGUCCAUUUCUUGUGAGUGGCGAGAAGGCUGUAGCCAGAGAUUGACUCUUCACCAGGCCACGGCAAAAAAAUUUAGAGCAGGAAGUUUGGCAAGCCUCCUAACUAAACUACCAAAAAAGGAGUGCCAUUUUGUUUGGUGCACUGUAUCUUUUUGCUCCAACCAGCUCUGCUCUGUUUGGUGAGUCCUGCAACCCUCAUUCUGAGCAGGAUUGCCUAACUGGCCACUUCUAUGCCUUCUGCCUUAAGAAAUCAGUGCAAGCAGACGGCACAGCCGUCCACAAAUUCCCUGGUGUGCAGCAGUUUGAGAGAAACACAGCACCUUUGCUUCUGGCCAUCUUUGAGGCACGCUGGCUUUAUUUCCAAGGUGGUUAGGGCCUCUCUUAAGUCUGCUUCAAGGAAGCACCAAAGAAGGAAGAUGAAAACACAAGCACAGCUCCAGAAGGCAUGAGAGGGCAAUCUUACAGAUCUUAUAGUCAUAGCAGCUCUGUGACGUCUCCCCAGAACUCUAGGGCACACUUGCCUUACAGAGUGGAACCAGCUGCCCAAGGGGCCAGAGUGAAUUCACAGAUUCAGGUGUCCCAGGUUUCAUCUCAGCUGUAGGCACAAGCGUUCCAGCCUGUGUCCUUAUCACCUCUGCCAGGGGUAGGCAACCUAAGGCCUGGAGGGCCGGAUGCAGCCCAUUCGCCUUCUAAAUCCAGCCCACAGACAGUCUGGGAAUCAGCGUGUUUUUACAUGAGUAGAAUGUGCCCUUUUAUUUAAAAUGCAUAUCUGGGUUAUUUGUGGGGCCUAGGCAUUCGUUCACUAUUAUUUUUCAAAAUAUAGUCUGGUCCAACACAUGGUCUGAGGGACGGUGGACUGGCCUAUGGCUGAAAAAGGUUGCUGACCCUUGACCUCUGCUCUAAAGUUUAGAGUCCUAAUGUCAUGCAAGAGGAGGGCAUGUUUGAACAGGAAAUUGCAGUUUUCGGACAAUUUGCACCUACAAAGAGCAAAAACAAAGGCUGUCAAAGUACAGGCCACAACUCGACUUGCUUUCAAAUUGGACCCUAUCUUUGUGAUCCUGAAGCCCAAAGAUUUGAGCCUAGUAUCAUUACCCUUGCUACAAAAGCUCUGAUAAAAGUGGUAGGCAUUUGAAGAUAGUAUAUUCUUCCUUCCACUGCUUAUUUUUACAAUAUUCAAACUCUGGAACAAAACUGUCUCCCCACAGUAUAUAAAAAUACAUUUUAAAAUAAAUAAAUAAAUGUACUGAAGAGGAUCCAGCUGCAAAGUGAUCUGAUGGCAGAUGUAAGCACUAUGAAAUCCAGAACUAAUAAAUAAAAAGUCUUGUCCUGAGGGAAAAUAAACAACAACGAAGUGAAAUGGAGUGCAAGGGGAAGGGACACAGCCUCAAAUUGCACUUGAUGUCACUGCUAUACAGUGAGUUUAUUUUCAUAUUAAGUUGCUUGCACUUUUAUGAGACCAAGAGUCCUAAACAUGAUGGGGGAUAUGGGAUUUUGUGGAAAGGGCCUGUCUCAUUUCUCACAUAAAGAUGUAAUGUGUUACUUGAUGGGAUGCCUUGUUGGAGCCUAGAUCCUAGCAAUGUGCACAGCCCCCAAGAUUUGCCUUGCAUCUGUGCAUUCAAAAAAAUAAAUUAAAAAUCAAUCUGUUUCUGUGUCCCUCUGUGGUAACAUUGUUCAAUGUUCAGAUGUCACAAGUGUUGAUUAGGAGCCUCAAGUUAGUGAAUAAUUUCCAGAAGGAUUUGUAUCAACUUCAGUAAUUGAAAUUCAGUUUACCUAUAAAUUGGCCAUGAUUUGUUUGUCAGCUGUGGAUAUACAUAGCCUGCAGAGACUUCAUCUCUCAAUAGGUAGCAAUGAGAAUGUCCAGCCCGGGUGUGAAACAAAAUAAUUAUGCCUAAUACAUUCCCCUGCCAAUAACAUCGACAAACAAGAACAUGCCAGAGCAGCUUAGUUCCCUUAACAAAUCCAUGUAGGCUGCUAGCAGUCGUUCCACACUUCUCAAAAUAUUUCCAGGACUGAAGGUUGGCAACUGCAGCUCUUUUCUUUUUUGAGGCAAGUGCUCAACUCUGUUGGGGCCAUUCCCUCACUGGUGUUGUUACUGCAAGCUCAAGAUUUAGUAUUUGGUCCUUUAACUGGCAACCUUUCACUGCUAGGAAGUAUAAUAUUAUUAGUAUUAGUAUUACAGUGGUACCUCGGUUUACGAACCUAAUCCGUUCCGGAAGUCCGUUCUUAAACCAAAACCGUUCUUAAACUGAGGCGCGCUUUCCCCAAUGAGGCCUCCUGCCGCCAGUGCCCUUCCACUGUUUGGCUUCCGUUCUUUGUCCAAGGUAAAGUUUGCAAACCAGGACACUAUUUCUGGUUUUGCGGAGUUUGUAAACCAAAUCAUUCUUAAACAGGACUGUUCCUAAACCGAGGUACCACUGUAUUUCAAGAGUGGAUUACUGCAAAGCACUGUAUGUGGUGCAGCCCUUAAGGUGGUCCUGAAGCUAAUGCAGAAU